UCCCUUAGUAAGGGCGACUGAAACGGGAAGAGGCCAGCGCAGAACCUCUCAUGCCGGACGGUGUGACGAGGAAUGUUGCGUUUCGGAGGGUCGUCUUGCCGCGUGCUUCUCGAAAUGUCCAAGUCCGCUUGAACGCCGCCACUACCCGGAGAGGGUGCGAGGCCCGUAUGACAUUCUCGAGCCGCGGCAUGACCCCUUCCGUAGAGUCGGGUUGCUUGAAAGUGCAGCCCUAAGCAGGUGGUAAACUCCAUCUAAGCCUAAAUACUACCACGAGACCGAUAGCGAACAAGUACCGUGAGGGAAAGUUGAAAAGGACUUUGAAGAGAGAGUUCAACAGUGCGUGAAACCGCCGAGAGUCAAACGGGUGGAACCUCGAAGUUCGAACGGGAUGCAUUCACCCGGUGGGCGGGAACACGCCGGCUAUGCAUGUGUUUGCCUCCGUAGCAUUCGACCAUACGCCGAUGAGAUUUGAACCCGCCCGCCGGUGUACUUGUUCCCCAGUAGAUCGCCGCGACCCGUUGCCCGGCGCGGUCGAAGGCCCGUCGGUUCGGCAUCUGGCCCCCUUGCCGGGGCCAGAGAAGUCCGUGCGGUGUCCUGACCGCCCGGCGACGGUCGUACAGCAAGUGCCGGCCUCUCGUGGGCGUCCCGCCGUCGCCGCCCUUCCUCUCGGGAGGGUGGCCGGCUCGGACCAGGCGCUUCUCAGCGGUGAAGAGAUCGGGAACCCCCCGACCCGUCUUGAAACACGGACCAAGGAGUCUAACAUGUGUGCGAGUCAUUGGGCUUCGUCGAACCCCAUAGGCGCAAUGAAAGUGAAGGCGGCCUCCCCGGCCGCCAUGGGCCGAUCCGUCCACCUGCCCGGUGGCGGCGCAGGCCCGGGACUGGCGUGCCCCAUCGCGGGCGCGCGAGUACCUCGAGCACCCAUGUUGGUACCCGAAAGAUGGUGAACUAUGCCUGGCCAGGACGAAGCCAGAGGAAACUCUGGUGGAGGUCCGCAGCAAUUCUGACGUGCAAAUCGAUUGUCAGAGC
rnacentral:rRNA from 1 species